GAGGGUAUAGCUCAGUGGUAGAGCAUGUGUUUAGCAAGAACAAGGUGGUGGGUUCAAUCCCCAGUACUGCCA
rnacentral:tRNA from 1 species